CGUAGCAAUACGUGGCAUACGGCUCAGUAACACGUAGUCAACAUGCCCAGGGGACGUGGAUAACCUCGGGAAACUGAGGAUAAACCGCGAUAGGUCAUAAUAUCUGGAAUGAUUUCUGGCUUAAAUCUAUAUGGCCCCUGGAUUGGACUGCGGCCGAUCAGGCUGUUGGUGAGGUAAUGGCCCACCAAACCUAAAACCGGUACGGGCUCUGAGAGGAGAAGCCCGGAGAUGGGCACUGAGACAAGGGCCCAGGCCCUAUGGGGCGCAGCAGGCGCGAAAACUCUGCAAUAAGCGAAAGCUUGACAGGGUUAUUCUGAGUGAUUUCCGCUAAGGAAAUCUUUUGGCACCUCUAAAAAUGGUGCAGAAUAAGGGGUGGGCAAGCCUGGUGUCAGCCGCCGCGGUAAUACCAGCACCCCGAGUGGUCGGGACGAUUAUUGGGCCUAAAGCAUCCGUAGCCGGUUCUACAAGUCUUCCGUUAAAUCCACCUGCUUAACAGAUGGGCUGCGGAGGAUACUAUGGAGCUAGGAGGCGGGAGAGGCAAGCGGUACUUAGUGGGUAGGGGUAAAAUCCGUUGAUCCAUUGAAGACCACCAGUGGCGAAGGCGGCUUGCCAGAACGCACUCGACGGUGAGGGAUGAAAGCUGGGGGAGCAAACCGGAUUAGAUACCCGGGUAGUCCCAGCUGUAAACG
rnacentral:rRNA from 1 species